rnacentral:rRNA from 1 species
UUUUGUUUGCUUGAAGUUAAUUAUUUGGUGAAAAAGCUAAAAUUUCCUUAGAGGACGAUAAGACCCUAUAGAUCUUCAUAAAACUACAUUUGUUUCUUAGGUGUUAUCAAACUAAUGAAUCUUUUAUUCCGUUGGGGCGACGUUGAGGGUUGAUUUAUCUCUCAAAAUAUUAUUACAUUUAUAAAUGAUUUUUGAUCCUUUAAUGAAUUAAGAUAAAGUUACCUUAGGGAUAACAGCGUAAUUUUUCUUGAGAGUUCUUAUCG